GCCUAACUCAUGCAAGUCGAACGGAGCCAUCUAAACAGUCCCUUCGGGGUGCGUUUGGGGAAGCUUAGUGGCGGACGGGUGAGUAACGCGUGAGUAACCUGCCUUUCAGAGGGGGAUAACGUUUCGAAAGGAACGCUAAUACCGCAUAACGUAUUUUUACCGCAUGAUAGAGAUACCAAAGAUUUAUCGCUGAAAGAUGGACUCGCGUCUGAUUAGCUAGUUGGAGGGGUAACGGCCCACCAAGGCGACGAUCAGUAGCCGAACUGAGAGGUUGAUCGGCCACAUUGGGACUGAGACACGGCCCAGACUCCUACGGGAGGCAGCAGUGGGGGAUAUUGCGCAAUGGGGGAAACCCUGACGCAGCAAUGCCGCGUGAAGGAAGAAGGUCUUCGGAUCGUAAACUUUUGUCUUCAGGGACGAUAAUGACGGUACCUGAGGAGGAAGCCACGGCUAACUACGUGCCAGCAGCCGCAGUAAGAC
rnacentral:rRNA from 1 species